rnacentral:lncRNA from 1 species
CCUCAUUCUCUGUGUUAUGAAUUGGGUACCAUCAAAGGUGAAGUCCCCCUUUUGAAUAAGAAAUUAUUCCUCCUAAACUCCAGUGACUAAACACUAUCUAACUGGAAGAAAAUCUCAAAAUAGAAAACAGAAAGAGAAAGAACUGGGAAACGGAAAUAAUUCACUGUAGCUUUUUUUGAUCUUAGACCUUCUAGGAAAAACCAGCCCCAUGGGACCAGUGAGAUUCAGAAUUUCACACAUCCCUUUCAUUCUCCUGGAGUAGCUAAGCCUGGAAUCACCACCUGAUGUGUCCAACUCCAUACCUAUGCCUGCUUGGAAUUACCAGGCUUGCAAAAUGGUAUUGGAAAUACAGAAGCUUUGCCUGCUGUUGUAUCACCUAUGCUGGAACUUCCUCGUGGAUCUGUUUUCUCCUUUGAUGUCUCCAACUCAGUCACCAGAUGGACGAGGGGCACUGCCAGCUGCCUGGGAAGGCUGUCACUGCUGAGGUUGGCACCCCAUGAGCUGCACAGGUAACCCAUCACAUUUAUACUUCUUGUUUCAAAUUGAAAGAAUUUGCUUUAAAUUGGAGGCUCAAGAAUGAUCCUCUUUGCUUCC